rnacentral:lncRNA from 1 species
CUUUUAUUCAAUGAUUGGCAAUGUGAACCAUUAGGCAUUACAAGAGGAGUAUUUAAACUAAUAAUACAGAAAAAUGAAUCCCAUAAAAUCUGGUACAAUUACUUAUUUUUUGACAGCUUUACAUUAGGAUCUUCCAUAUUAGUCGAAACUGAUAAAUCUUCAUAUUGCUUUGAUUUUUAGCUUCCUUAUUCUCUCCACUGAUUUCGGCAAUAUUGUGAGUCUUUCCCUUUUUUCUCCAAGAAUCUUGUGCUUCCUUAUUCUCUCCACUGAUUUCGGCAAUGUUGUGAGAGUCUUUCCAUUUUUCUCCAAGAAUCUUGUGCUUCCUUAUUGAUUGUGCUGAGUUGUGGUUUGUUGCUAAUACCCUCCCUCAAACUUUGUCGAAGUUGGAGGCAAAGUUUGUUUCGAAAAUAUUGAAGGGCUGCUUUUGACAUUGGUUUUGUGAAGAGGUCAGCAACUUGGUUAUCAAUGGAGAUAUGUUGAGUGAUAAGCAGUCCACAUGCAACUUGUUCACGUACAAAAUGAUAAUCCAACUCUAUGUGUUUGCUUCGGGCAUGAAAUACCGGGUUAACUGUCAUAUAAAGAGCAACAAGGUUGUCACAAUAGAGAAUGGGAGGAGAUGUUAUUGCAAUUCAAAGGUCUUUGAAAAUGAAUGUCAGCCAAGUAAGUUUGGCUACUGUGUUAGCCAUGGCGUGGUACUCAACUUCCGUGCUUGAUCGUGAAAUGGUAUGUUAUUUUUUUGCACGCCACGAGAUGAGGUUCCCUCCAAGGAAUGUACAGUAGCCUGUGGUUGAACGUCUUGUAGUAGGACACCCUGCCCAAUGUGCAUUUGAGAAAGCAAAAAGAUCAAGUGCACUAUGUGAAGAAAAAUGUAAACCCAUUUCAAUUGUUCCUUUGACAUAUCUUAGGAUACGUCAAACCAUUUUUAAGUGUGUCAUUGUGGGAGUAUGCAUAAAUUGGGAUACAUAGUUAACACUAAAUGAAAUAUCGGGGUAAGUAAGUGCAAGAUAUUGUAAUGCUUCCAACAAGACCACGAUUGUAACUUGGGUCUUCCAAGAGAAUUUCAUUGGAAGAAGUUUUGGUUUUAGCUUUAAGAGGUGGACUCAUUGGCUUGCAAUCUACCAUACUGGAGCGUUCAAGUAUGGUUAGGGUGUAGUGAGACUGAGAUAGAUGAAGUCCCCUAUUUGUUGUCGUGAUUUCCAUUCCAAGAAAGUGGUGAAUUGGUCCCAAAUCUU